GGCGGCGCUCCGGCAGGAGAUGGAUCUCGAGGAUGAGCAGACGGAAGUACCAAGGAAUCUCAUGGAUGAUGAGUAUGCCAAUGUGCAAGAAAAAGACCCGAAAAUUCUGUUAACCACAUCUCGUAAUCCAAGUGCCCCUCUCACACAGUUUGUCAAGGAAUUAAAAAUUGUCUUCCCCAACUCAACAAGAAUGAAUCGUGGU
rnacentral:misc_RNA from 1 species